UCGGUAGGGGAGAAAGGAAUUCCCUGUGUAACGGUGGAAUAUGUUGAUAUCUAGAAGAACACCAAUGGGGAAGGCAGGUCUUCUGGGCCGUUUCUGCCGCUGAGGAGCGAAAGCGUGGGGAGCGAACAGGAUUAGAUACCCUGGUAGUCCACGCCGUAAACGGUGGAUGCUGGAUGUGGGGCCCGCUCCACGGGUUCCGUGUCGGAGCUAACGCGUUAAGCAUCCCGCCUGGGGAGUACGGCCGCAAGGCUAAAACUCAAAGAAAAAGACGGGGGCCCGCACAAGCGGCGGAGCAUGCGGAUUAAUUCGAUGCAACGCGAAGAACCUUACCUGGGCUUGACAUGUUCCCGACAGCCGUAGAGAUAUGGCCUCCCUUCGGGGCGGGUUCACAGGUGGUGCAUGGUCGUCGUCAGCUCGUGUCGUGAGAUGUUGGGUUAAGUCCCGCAACGAGCGCAACCCUCGCCCUGUGUUGCCAGCACGUCAUGGUGGGAACUCACGGGGGACCGCCGGGGUCAACUCGGAGGAGGGUGGGGAUGACGUCAGAUCAUCAUGCCCCUUACGCCCAGGGCUUCACGCAUGCUACAAUGGCCGGUACAACGGGAUGCGACACGGCGACGUGGAGCGGAUCCCUGAAAACCGGUCUCAGUUCGGAUUGGAGUCUGCAACCCGACUCCAUGAAGGCGGAGUCGCUAGUAAUCGCGGAUCAGCAACGCCGCGGC
rnacentral:rRNA from 1 species